rnacentral:rRNA from 1 species
CCUACGGGGGGCUGCAGUGGGGAAUAUUGGACAAUGGGCGAAAGCCUGAUCCAGCCAUGCCGCGUGUGUGAAGAAGGCCUUCGGGUUGUAAAGCACUUUCAGUGGGGAAGAAAGCCUUGGGGCUAAUACCCUCGAGGAAGGACAUCACCCACAGAAGAAGCACCGGCUAACUCCGUGCCAGCAGCCGCGGUAAUACGGAGGGUGCGAGCGUUAAUCGGAAUUACUGGGCGUAAAGCGCGCGUAGGCGGUCUGAUAAGCCGGUUGUGAAAGCCCCGGGCUCAACCUGGGAACGGCAUCCGGAACUGUCAGGCUAGAGUGAAGGAGAGGAAGGUAGAAUUCACGGUGUAGCGGUGAAAUGCGUAGAGAUCGGGAGGAAUACCAGUGGCGAAGGCGGCCUUCUAGACUGACACUGACGCUGAGGUGCGAAAGCGUGGGUAGCAAACAGGAUUAGAUACCCUUGUAGUC